GAAAUGCGAUAAGUAAUGUGAAUUGCAGAAUUCAGUGAAUCAUCGAAUCUUUGAACGCACCUUGCGCUCCUUGGUAUUCCUUGGAGCAUGCCUGUUUGAGUAUCAUGAAAUCUUCAAAGUAAAUCUUUUGUUAACUCAAUUGGUUUCUACUUUGGUAUUGGAGGUCUUUGCAGCUUCACACCUGCUCCUCUUUGUUCAUUAGCUGGAUCUCAGUGUUAUGCUUGGUUCCACUCGGCGUGAUAAGUUAUCUAUCGCUGAGGACACUGUAAAAGGUGGCCAAGGUAAAUGCAGAUGAACCGCUUCUAAUAGUCCAUUGACUUGGACAAUACUUUUAUGAUCAGAUCUCAAAUCAGGUAGGACUACCCGCUGAACUUAAGC
rnacentral:misc_RNA from 1 species